UGCUGAUUUGCUGACGAGUGGCGGACGGGUGAGUAAUGUCUGGGAAACUGCCUGAUGGAGGGGGAUAACUACUGGAAACGGUAGCUAAUACCGCAUAACGUCGCAAGACCAAAGAGGGGGACCUUCGGGCCUCUUGCCAUCGGAUGUGCCCAGAUGGGAUUAGCUAGUAGGUGGGGUAACGGCUCACCUAGGCGACGAUCCCUAGCUGGUCUGAGAGGAUGACCAGCCACACUGGAACUGAGACACGGUCCAGACUCCUACGGGAGGCAGCAGUGGGGAAUAUUGCACAAUGGGCGCAAGCCUGAUGCAGCCAUGCCGCGUGUAUGAAGAAGGCCUUCGGGUUGUGAAGUACUUUCAGCGGGGAGGAAGGGAGUAAAGUUAAUACCUUUGCUCAUUGACGUUACCCGCAGAAGAAGCACCGGCUAACUCCGUGCCAGCAGCCGCGGUAAUACGGAGGGUGCAAGCGUUAAUCGGAAUUACUGGGCGUAAAGCGCACGCAGGCGGUUUGUUAAGUCAGAUGUGAAAUCCCCGGGCUCAACCUGGGAACUGCAUCUGAUACUGGCAAGCUUGAGUCUCGUAGAGGGGGGUAGAAUUCCAGGUGUAGCGGUGAAAUGCGUAGAGAUCUGGAGGAAUACCGGUGGCGAAGGCGG
rnacentral:rRNA from 1 species